rnacentral:lncRNA from 1 species
AUGUGGUUGUUUGAGGAACCUUUGUUUUAUAAUGACCUCAUAAGGACUCAGACACUGCAAUCUGCCAGCCUGCGAGCCUGUCUUAGAGAGGCUAGCUGCACCAAGCUGGGCCAUCUGAUGAAGAUGACGGCAACAUCUGUGGACGCCUUGAAAGAGAGAAGUAACAUCACCUCCAUCAGGUUGAUCAGCAGAGUUGUGGAGGAAGUCUGUGCUGCCCUGCAACAACCUCUGAGAGAAUUUGCAAAAAAACGCACUUUGUGUGACCAGUGGAGCGAAGAGGGAGAGUACAGUUUCCCCGCUCUGUAUAUCAUCCCAGUUGUGGGGGAGUGGCAGGAGGGAGGAGGUCAGCUGCUGUCUCUCACAACCCCACACCUGGAGACUUUUCAGGCUGCAGGGAAGAAGGAUUUGUACCAAAUCUGCUCCAAGGUUUUGAACCUGCGCUCUUUGGCAGGCUUGCAGGAGUCGAGGUGGACAGAUUUUUUUGGUCCAGACGUUUCCCCGAAAGGCAGCUGGCGGUCUUUGUACAAGCUGCCCGUUGAAAAACGGACAGCAGACCUCCAGUGGAGGAUUGUAAUUGGAGCAAUAGCUACCAACAGGUACAGAGCGCACCUGGAUCCAGAGCAGGGGGUGGAGUGUAUUUUCUGCUCUCAGAUUGAGACCCUGGGGCAUGUAUUCGUUCAGUGUCCUCGGCUGACAGUAUUGUUUGAGCUUUUAAAAAAGUGGUUUCAGGGUCUAGGGGAGAAUUUUUCAUUUGAAUUGGUUAUUUUUGGCCCAAAGUACUGUGCUCUGAAGAAAAAUGUACACACAUUGGUGAACUUUUUAUCGGGUUCUGCCAAGUUGGCCAUCUGGCUAACACGCAGGAACCGGGUUCAGAGUAUUGGUAGUGUGGAGCCGGUGCUGGUUCUGAAGGGCCUGUUGAAGGCCCGACUGAGGGUGGAACAUGCCUAUUAUCAAAUGAUGGACGAUAUGCAGGGCUUCAGUCACAUAUGGGCUGUUGGAGGGGUCUUAUGCUCUGUGGGGGGUGUAGGAGAGCUGAAUGUAAGUUUCUGA